rnacentral:rRNA from 1 species
CGGGGGAUAACUAUUGGAAACGAUAGCUAAUACCGCAUAACAAUGGAUGACACAUGUCAUUUAUUUGAAAGGGGCAAUUGCUCCACUACAAGAUGGACCUGCGUUGUAUUAGCUAGUAGGUGAGGUAACGGCUCACCUAGGCGACGAUACAUAGCCGACCUGAGAGGGUGAUCGGCCACACUGGGACUGAGACACGGCCCAGACUCCUACGGGAGGCAGCAGUAGGGAAUCUUCGGCAAUGGGGGCAACCCUGACCGAGCAACGCCGCGUGAGUGAAGAAGGUUUUCGGAUCGUAAAGCUCUGUUGUAAGUCAAGAACGAGUGUGAGAGUGGAAAGUUCACACUGUGACGGUAGCUUACCAGAAAGGGACGGCUAACUACGUGCCAGCAGCCGCGGUAAUACGUAGGUCCCGAGCGUUGUCCGGAUUUAUUGGGCGUAAAGCGAGCGCAGGCGGUUUGAUAAGUCUGAAGUUAAAGGCUGUGGCUCAACCAUAGUUCGCUUUGGAAACUGUCAAACUUGAGUGCAGAAGGGGAGAGUGGAAUUCCAUGUGUAGCGGUGAAAUGCGUAGAUAUAUGGAGGAACACCGGUGGCGAAAGCGGCUCUCUGGUCUGUAACUGACGCUGAGGCUC